GUGUGUGGGGGGGCACACACCUGUAAUCUAGGCUACUGGGAUGGCUGAGGAUGGUGGGUCUCUUGAGCUUGGCAGUUGUGAGAUACAGUGGGAUGCUUAUCAUGUUUCUGCACUAAAUUUAGCAUUGAUAUAGUAAACUCCUUGGAGUGGGAGGCCACCAGGCUGCUUAAGGAGGGCUGAAUAGGCCCAGGCUGGAAAUGGAACAGGCCAAAGGUCCAAUGCUGAUUAAUAGUGAAAUUGGGCUGACGAGUGGCUGGGAGCAAUAGGGAGACCCAGUCUUU
rnacentral:SRP_RNA from 1 species